CUAGCCAUUUUCUUUUCUUAUCCCCAGCCGCCACAAAGACAGCCGGCCGCCUGGGAACUUUUUUUUCUUUUCUUCUUCCUGGCCGACCGCACCUCCCACUUCUCUCUAUUUUUUUUUCCUUGCACCAUGGCUUGGCAAACGGAUCUAGGCUGGCUUCCUCUCUUUCUGUUCUUCUCCUGCUCUGUUCUUUGCUUCUUUCUUCCCCACCGAACAGCUCAAACCGGUGAGCUAGCCGCUGCCUGAGCGCGCAGCCGGCUCACAUAUCCGAGGAUGACCGGAUUAAUGUUCAGGGGCAUGCGGGUUUUACCGCCGGUGUGCGCGUCCCCUCAGUAGGGCGCGCCGCCGUCGGUCAAACGCCGACAGCUGUCCCUGUUGACAGCAGAGAAAAGGGGUCGACCUCUUGGUCGACUUCUGUGACUGUGCACGCCCAGAUCUUAUCUCCCUUACCUCUUUGACUCGAUCUCGUUCUCUGUGAUGUAUGAGAUGGAUCUAAUGUAAUAUUCGGGAUCGAGUUAUGAGUUGAUAGAACGUAGAUUUUCUGUGAGGAUUUUUUUGUACCUUUUCUAAUCUGCUCUGUCAUCUAGGCCGUGGAUGUAAAAGAUCCCGAGCCACUGUGAUCUCUGUUGACCCAGAUUUAAAACUGAUCAGGGUUAGGUUAUUAAACCCUAACCCUAAAACAUCGAUCUGUUUUUACUAUCUCGAAUCUUCUGGGUUUGGCCGAGACCAAAUCUCUGUUAGUGGCCAAAACCCUAGAUUUAGGGUUAGGUAAACCCUAACCCGAGAGAUAAAAAAUAUUCUUUCUAUU
rnacentral:lncRNA from 7 species